rnacentral:ncRNA from 1 species
ACCCCUGGCGAAGAGUCGCCGACUGUGGCGGCCUGCUGCCGGUCGCUGAGCCGGAGCUAGCCAGGGGGGUUUUU